rnacentral:rRNA from 1 species
UGGGGAAUAUUGCGCAAUGGGGGCAACCCUGACGCAGCAACGCCGCGUGAUUGAAGAAGGUCUUCGGAUUGUAAAAAUCUUUUAUCAGGGACGAAGAAGUGACGGUACCUGAUGAAUAAGCUCCGGCUAACUACGUGCCAGCAGCCGCGGUAAUACGUAGGGAGCAAGCGUUAUCCGGAUUUACUGGGUGUAAAGGGCGAGUAGGCGGGUCGGCAAGUUGGGAGUGAAAUGUCGGGGCUUAACCCCGGAACUGCUUCCAAAACUGUUGAUCUUGAGUGAUGGAGAGGCAGGCGGAAUUCCCAGUGUAGCGGUGAAAUGCGUAGAUAUUGGGAGGAACACCAGUGGCGAAGGCGGCCUGCUGGACAUUAACUGACGCUGAGGAGCGAAAGCGUGGGGAGCAAACAGG